rnacentral:rRNA from 1 species
UUGAGAGUUUGAUCCUGGCUCAGAACGAACGCUGGCGGCAGGCCUAACACAUGCAAGUCGAGCGAGGACUUCGGUUCUAGCGGCGGACGGGUUAGUAACGCGUGGGAACGUACCCUUUUCUACGGAAUAGCCUCGGGAAACUGAGAGUAAUACCGUAUACGCCCUUAGGGGGAAAGAUUUAUCGGUGAAGGAUCGGCCCGCGUUAGAUUAGAUAUUUGGUGGGGUAAUGGCCUACCAAGUCUACGAUCUAUAGCUGGUUUUAGAGGAUGAUCAGCAACACUGGGACUGAGACACGGCCCAGACUCCUACGGGAGGCAGCAGUGGGGAAUCUUAGACAAUGGGCGCAAGCCUGAUCUAGCCAUGCCGCGUGAGUGAUGAAGGCCUUAGGGUCGUAAAGCUCUUUCGCCUGUGAAGAUAAUGACUGUAGCAGGUAAAGAAACCCCGGCUAACUCCGUGCCAGCAGCCGCGGUAAUACGGAGGGGGCUAGCGUUGUUCGGAAUUACUGGGCGUAAAGCGC